CAGGACGAACGCUGGCGGCGUGCCUAAUACAUGCAAGUCGAGCGAAUGAUUAGAGAAGCUUGCUUCUCUCUGAUUUAGCGGCGGACGGGUGAGUAACACGUGGGUAACCUACCCUAUAGACUGGGAUAACUUCGGGAAACCGGAGCUAAUACCGGAUAAUACUUCGAAACACAUGUUUUGAAGUUGAAAGAUGGUUUCGGCUAUCACUAUAGGAUGGACCCGCGGCGCAUUAGCUAGUUGGUGAGGUAACGGCUCACCAAGGCAACGAUGCGUAGCCGACCUGAGAGGGUGAUCGGCCACACUGGGACUGAGACACGGCCCUGACUCCUACGGGAGGCAGCAGUAGGGAAUCUUCCACAAUGGACGAAAGUCUGAUGGAGCAACGCCGCGUGAAGUGAAGAAGGAUUUCGGUUCGUAAAACUCUGUUGCAAGGGAAGAACAAGUAGCGUAGUAACUGGCGCUACCUUGACGGUACCUUGUUAGAAAGCCACGGCUAACUACGUGCCAGCAGCUGC
rnacentral:rRNA from 1 species